UUCUCUCUCUGUCUUUCUUGUGUCUUAUCUCUUUCUUCUGGUUUCUUUCCUCCACUUGUUUUAUCUUUUUCCUCGUCUUUUCCUCCUUCGUGUGCUGUGGGGGUGGGUGUUCCCGUCCCCCUAAAAGUAAAAGUGUCUUUGUUUUGACUUAAGUGUUAUAACUUAUGAUUGAAGUUUUUUUUUUUUUUCUCAAGGACUCCAUGCAACUUCUAGUCUCGUUUUUGUUUUCUUUCGUUUUUUUUCUUCUUUGUAACGUUUUAUCACCAGGAAAGAGAAUGAUGUGUCUUUUUUGCGGAGUUGUCUAAUCCUUUAACCACAGCAUGGUACAAUUUGGACAUUUUCGCAGCUCGCCGACACCUAUCCUUGUAUACGUAUGAAGAAAUAAAUGAUCGCCAAUUUUAAACAGAUAAAACGUUCUGCCUGGCAAGACUUAUGUGCUCGACCUUGAAACUGCAAGACCUCCCCUUCUCCUAACACACACACACACACACACACACACACACACACACACACACACACACACACACACACACACACACACACACACACACACACACACACACACACACAAAGUUAGGUGUUGUAUUUUAACAGACUUUUUUUCAAUGACUAAAAGUGGAGAAACAGAGUAGGAAAUAAAAGAUAAGGAGGAGGACACGGACAAGCAGGAGGAGGAGGAGGAGGAGGAGGAAGCGGAGGAGGAAGAGAGGCAAGGCCAAGGGUGAAGAAGGCUCAGUAUUUGCCGAGGAUAUGAGCGAGGCACUUUAUGAGUCUCCUCAGGUGAAAGACAAUUUGUAGCAAGCUUAUUGUUUUGUUGAUCUCCUGCUCUAUAUUAUUUUUCGUUUUUGCUCUUAACUCUGAUGCAUUCUUGUUGUUCCAGUGCUUCAACUAUUGGCUCACUUUUCUCUCUUUUGCUUGUGUUGUUGUUUUUUUUUCUCUUUGUUAUUUUUUUCUUGUUAUUCUUAAUUCUAUUGCAUUCACGGUUUUUUUUCUUCAUCUUCAGAACUAUUACUUUUUUUUUCUUCCUUACAGAGAAUCUGGUGCCUCGCUUCCACUGGCGCGUCACUUUCAUCAAGACUGAAUCGCGCUUGUACCUUCGUGAUGUGCAGGAGACAUCAAUCAGAUUCUGCAUGGGUGACUGACUUCACCGCCAUGGACACCUGGGGAAAAGCAGCGCCUCGUAUGCACCUCGUAAAGAUGGGGAGGAGUUGCGUGUCGUGCUGGUUGAAGUUAGCGUGUUGGCGGUCCAUUGGCGGCCUUCGUGUAAUGGAGAAGAUGCAUGGGAGGAGAGUUAGGUAGACAAGUAUGAGGAUUGCUUACAGAAGAUGGACGAUGACUUGAAUCAAGGAAACACAAAGGAAGAACAAAUAUCCUAAGAAAUUUUUGCCCCUUACGAAGCCGUGACCAAUUUUACGAGUGUGCGAGAUUAAGUAAAGUGAUUGAAUAGGUGAAACGAAAACGGUGAGGAAUACAAAGAAAAAACAAGUAACAACAGAAAUUUAUUCCUUAACUCAUUCAGUACUGGAACACAAUUUUACCUCGAGUAUGAGUGUGUUUAGACCAUUUUAUUUACAUUAGGUAGGGUUUAUGGAGGUCA